CAAUCAGUUUGAUUCCCUCAAAAAUUAUACAUAUUUUUGAAAUUGCUGUUCUAGAUAGAGGAGUGAUUGUAGAAAAACAGCCCCCUUUGGCCAAACUGCUUCCUAUGCACUACCAGAAGUGCUGGUUUCACUGACAACAAGCAGCCAGUCUUGCAAAGAGAAAUUAAGCACGGCAGAAUGAACUACAGUCCAUUCCACUCUGCACAUUAACAAAAGUAUUAAGCAGGGCUUUUUUGCAGGCCAAAAACCUACCUUCAGUGUCAGCUGUACUCUUUUGUAUGAAGGCAAGGUAUGUGCAGCCAGUGAAUAUGAUGGGGAGCAAUUUAAAUGUCAGGAUCCAUUACUGUAAAAUGGAUUAACAGCUGAUUAAACAUCAGGCAGUUAGCUGGCUCCCAUUUGUGGGCUGGAAGAUCUCUAUCCUUGUUAACAUAUUUGCGUGGAAAACUUGUUUUCUGAUUGAUUAAAUCUGAUUCUUAUCUGCGGUACUUUCUUGUACAUUCUCAAUGCAGCAAAGUAAUUGCAAUAAGAUUAUACAGACUGAUCCUAACUUUAAUCGUGGCCAACAGCCUCAGCUUGGCUGCUGGAUGUUUGAUGGAGCAGCAGAACCCCAUUCACACACCUUGUGCACUCUGGAGGCGUACAACUGGGAAGAACAGAUCCAUAAUCUGACAUUUAACACUCAGAGAUGCUACAAGACUUAACAGCAACUAAAAGGCAAUAUAUCCCAUUAGCAAAUCCCAGUUUGAAGGCAGAGUGAAGUUCUGCAAAGUGCCAUUGGUGUUAAACGUGUGCCAUUAUAGAAGCAGGGCUGCAGUUGCACUGCAGUAUGAGUCACUCGCUGAAAUAAAGGAACAGAAUCCCAGCAACACUGCUAAAAGCUGCAACAUACUUGAAGUACGCCUGCUCCAGUGACACAAAAUGAGAAUGAUACUUUCUUCCUCAGCCGAAUUUUCAGCUGUGUUGACAGUGUCUGUUAAGUCUCUGAAAGGCAGACGGAGCUCCACAGUAAAACUACUGUAAAAGCUCCACGCUGUCAUUUUCAGAAGUAUUUAUGGAAAUGCAUAUCAGCUGUUAUGCAGGAAAACUUUUAGAAGACAGUGGCUUUAUAUAGACACAUCAUUAAGCCUAUGCAUUAUUUACAAGACAAUAAGAUAGGUGAGAGACUUAAUUUGCAUCGCACAGUAGGUAAAAAUUAACACAGUGGAGAGAUCCGCUUGUGUCAGAGAUUGUGCUAAAACCUCAUCCAUUUAAUUUUAAGCUGUGCAUGUAGCAUACAUCUCAGGCAUCUCGAGGUGAUGCUCCCCACCAGUCUUCAUAGCUGUUCACAAGAUGGCGGGACCUUCUCCUUGUCCCAUCACUUCAAGUCCUGCCUGAGUGUAUGUGCAUUACACAGCGUUUCUUACAUCUAGAAGAGGUUCAUCAUUCUUAACAGCUUUGCAGUGCCAAAGAAGAAAUGGAUUGCAAACCAAGUUCUGACAACUCCAAAGACUUAGUGAUUUUUCAGGACAUAGGUGCCUGAGACAGUAAGACCCUUAACUGCAUCCUUAAAGCAGAACCUUCUUCAGUGUUUUGCUGGAUCAGUCAUUCCAUUCCCAAUAGGCACAAAAUACUGAAAGUCAUUUUGUUUUUGAUGAAUGUAUCUUAUUCUAAAACAAAACUCACUGAAAGAAAUGAAACAUCAUCAAGGAAGGAGAAAUCCUGAAUUCAACAUUCACUUUUGCAAUCUUUGUGAAUAAAAUGCACAGAAAUUAUUGCCAAGUAAAUGGAAGUUUCUAAUAUACCACACUUUUUUUUUCCAUUUUAUCUUUCAGAAAGUUUUAAUUAUUGCGCGUCUGUGUUCUUUCAUGCUAAGUAACAUAACUCUAGCCUUGAGUAUAUCCUUCUGAUCCUUAUUUUUAUCAUCUUGUCCUGGCACAAAUGAGGAGAGUUCUGAAAUGGUGUCAGUGAACAUUGCAAUAUCCAUCGUGUUCAUCUGUAUCCCAUCUCUAUUUACAGUAUUUUAUAGCUAUAGAAAUUACCUUCACCAGUUGAAAAAGAAAGAAAAGAGCUGUCAGUUCUGAUUGCAAUUACAGCAUAAGUAAUCUGUGUUUAAGCAGUAACUUGGCUAUAUACUAUAGAUAUUUCUGCAGUCACUGAGCUGAGGAUGGUGGUCAGUUCUGUAAUAGCAAUUGGGCAAACCUGCUUGCUGUUUAUAGUCAAGCCCAUUUUCCCUGCCAUCAAGACAAGUGAGGUAAAAUUAACUCUAUGAGAGGAAACUGUACAGAAUGCUGAAUUAAAAAACCAUCAGGCAUUGGCUGCAUUUAAGACACAAUAAAUCAUUCAGGUCGACAA
rnacentral:lncRNA from 7 species